rnacentral:rRNA from 1 species
UACAGAGGUCUCAAGCGUUGUUCGGAUUCAUUGGGCGUAAAGGGUGCGUAGGCGGCGCGGUAAGUCGGAUGUGAAAUCUCGGAGCUUAACUUCGAAACUGCAUUCGAUACUGCCGUGCUUGAGGACUGGAGAGGAGACUGGAAUUUACGGUGUAGCGGUGAAAUGCGUAGAUAUCAGGAGGAACACCGGUGGCGAAGGCGGGUCUCUGGACAGUUCCUGACGCUGAGGCACGAAGGUCAGGGGAGCAAACGGG